rnacentral:sRNA from 1 species
GUUAAUAGAUUGCUUUUACCUUUAUUGUCCGGUACUGGGACUCAAAUGGUAUUGUAAGUAAAAAAGAAUAAAGUGAAUAAUAGUUCCAAGUACUUUACAUUUGUACAAAAAAAUUAGGCCGUAGUUUCAAUCUAC